UACGGAGGAUGCAAGCGUUAUCCGGAAUCAUUGGGCGUAAAGAGUCCGUAGGUGGCACUUCAAGUCGACUUUCAAAGACCGAAGCUCAACUUCGGAAAGGGAGUGGAAACUGAAGAGCUAGAGUAUAGUAGGGGUAGAGGGAAUUCCUAGUGUAGCGGUGAAAUGCGUAGAGAUUAGGAAGAACACCAGUGGCGAAGGCGCUCUACUGGGCAUAUACUGACACUGAGGGACGAAAGCUAGGGUAGCGAAAGGGAUUAGAUACCCGCGUAGU
rnacentral:rRNA from 1 species